rnacentral:lncRNA from 1 species
ACAUUGAAACCAUCAAAUCUUGCUCUUAAGUUUAGAAUAAACAUACUAACCGUUUCUAGCGCAAAUAGCAGAGAGCUCGAUGGUCGGUAUUCAAUAUUCUAAAUUUAAAGUUCAGUUACUUUACGUUUCCAAUUAAGUUUAUUUAAAAAAACAAAAAAUGAAUAACAUGCUAUCUUUAUCUCUAUCUGAAAAAAGAAAAAAAGAUUUUCAUCAUUAAAAUG